UACGAAGGGGGCUAGCGUUGUUCGGAAUCACUGGGCGUAAAGCGCACGUAGGCGGAUCUUUAAGUCAGGGGUGAAAUCCCAAGGCUCAACCUUGGAACUGCCUUUGAUACUGGGGAUCUCGAGUUCGGGAGAGGUGAGUGGAACUGCGAGUGUAGAGGUGAAAAUUCGUAGAUAUUCGCAAGAACACCAGUGGCGAAGGCGGCUCACUGGCCCGAUACUGACGCUGAGGUGCGAAAGCGUGGGGAGCAAACAGGG
rnacentral:rRNA from 1 species